GCUAUAAACCUGGCUUUUUAUACACCAGGUUUGAAAAUGCAGACGUCAUCAUGAUGUGGCAACAUCUCAGCCAUUCGAUUUCAUCUACGGUUGUGACUGAUAAAAAAAGUCAAACAAAAACCAAAACUGUUAGCUUAAUCCGUUAGUGCAAAGCAGAGGAUCUCGGACCACCCUUCUCCAUCAUCAACCAACUCACCACCAGCCUCCACUUGUUUUGAAUCCGACUUCGGCCCAAAAGUUUGACAUCCUCCGAGCAUGGGAAACCCGAGAGCCUUGUUGAGCCUUGCUCAUAUAUGAUCGUGAUGGGUACUCUUCCGAGAGCCUUGUUGGACCCUUUUGUUGUAGGAGUUCGAUGUCUGGGUCCUCAAUUUCAGCAAUCAAAGACCCAAGCUCCUUGCGACACCAGGCUCUCGCUCUCAAAGUCAAAUUCUCAUAUCGCCGUUUAGGGUCGACGAGAUCUCCCUCCUCUUCGUCAACUCCUCCUACUUCACUCCGGAUAAUUAUGGUGGAUAUACGGUUGUUUCUGUUCUUUAGCUUCUGAUCAGAGCUAUUGUUCUCUUACUGUUACCACUGAUGCAAUGGUGCACUCCAGUUCUCAGCCUCAGGGUACGUGGAGCAGAGGAGCUAACUGUGCAAUGGACUGAAACAGCCCAAGUUAUAAAGCGAGGUGGACGUGCGGCCUAAGUACGUCGUCUAGACACAAACUCAUUCCUUUGUUUCAGAAGGCUGGAUAGCUAGAAUCAGAGAUAGUCACAAGGCAGGACUCAUUUGUUGGACACCACGGGGGCCACAACCUCGAAAGGAUGCUUUCCCAAUCGACUCCAUCACCGAGAUGUAUGUCAGUCUAUAGGCCUCUGAGAUCCAAUUUUGUAAACCUUGAACCAGGGUAAUGAAAAUAGCAAGCCCCUUACUCAGCUCGGAAUAACUUUGUGUGUUAGACUGCUCGCAAAGUGUUAAUAAAAGCUGCCCACAACCCCAAGUGACCUUUGCAAGAUACAAAUGGAGGGUUAAGGCUAAUAUUAACAAAAUGGACUUUACCUAUUCCGUUCACCUUAUAGUAAACUAAGCAUAAAUAAACAUUUAGCUUCCUUAAAAAUAAAAAUAAAAAAUUUAACUAUGUGUAACAAGUUUCUUAUAGGCAUACUACAACAACAAUAUAACAAAUAACAACUUAAUAUACACAAUAAAAAUUUUCGUUCUAUACAAGUUUUUUUUUUCGGAGUUACUAUUCACAGAAGCACUAUUUACGAUUACUAUUCACAGAAACAAAAUACAAUUAUACAAUUCACAAUAUAACACAAUAGUAACACUUUAAAGCAUUGAGAAUUAAUCAAUUCCCCGGCAACGGCGUCAAAAUGAUAGAGCGUUUGGUUAGAACGUCUAUAAAAUACCCUGAAAAACAUCAUCGUUAGUAUAGAAUAAGCAGGGAUCGUUCAGUCCAGGAAAUCAAAAUGGCCUCAACACUUAUCAUGUUAUUGGGGGAUUUGAUUUGGAUUCUAAAACUACUACUUAAAAUAAAUCCUAAAUUACUUAUAUACAAUUAAUCAACCAUUCAUCACAUAACCAAAACACGAAUUCUACUCAAGAAACAUGUAUGACACGUAUAGAAUAACAUAUAGGCAGCAAGUAUUUUCGAUUCUUCUUAAGUCCAUUUCAAUUCCAAUUCUAAUUAGAGUCCGAAGCGGUUCAUCUAAUCGUUAAGACUUCUUAAUUAUUUAGAAUCAACGAAGCGUUCAAUCCUAAACAUAUGCUAAAGAGAGUUCAACAUAACGAAGCGUCUAGUUAAACAACAAAGUAGCACAUAAGCACAUUAAGUCGAAUUGGAGACAUGUUACACAAGCAUGGCGUCACUCAUCUUGAUUAAACAUGCAAAUUCCUAGAACUAUCACAGCCCUAUAUAAGUAUCAAUAAUUGAAACACGAAGCGCAUAUUCAAUUAAUGAACACUUUGGUGAAUUAAAUCGCAACCCUAGGAGAACCAUGGCCUUGGCUUCCUGAAGUAUUGAUUUAGAUGUACGAAUUCAAGGAAUUAAUUGAAAUAAAACCUAAAUUAAUUUCGAAAAUCCUACUGCCCAUAGAUGUUACACACGGCAUAAACACAUAUUCAAGAGUUCAUACAAUCAAAACAUAAAACCAAAGAAGUCUGAAUUUAUGUUCUUCAUAUAUGAAACCGAAAAUAACAUCCAAUGAUUCAUACAAUGAAUUCGAAAUUUGCAGAAAAUAAAAAGAAAUAUUACAAGUCAUGGAUAAAUCACACAUUAGAAACCUUCUAGGAUGAAGGAAGGAUGAAUUCGAAUUGGUGGAGGAGGAAGAUGAGCACGGCUUGGUGAUGAUGGAUGAAGUUUUUUGGGUUGAAUUUUCUGGAUGUUUUUGGGCAGCAAUUCGGCUUUGUUUGUGAGAGAAUGGAGAUGGUGAAUUAUGAGGGAGGCCAUGCGUUUUAUAGAGGAAGGAGGAGAGGAGGGGCUGCUAGGGUUUUGAAUGGGAUGAUCCAUGUAUUUCCUUUUUUUUCUUUUUUUUCCUUCUCGAUUGAAUGAUGAUCAUCUUUGUUGGUCACAUGCAUUCUCCCUUCUUCUAGACCACAUGCAUUCUUCAGAAUUAUCUCUUUGUUCUCUCCUUCCUUUUUCUUCUUUUGUUUCCUUCUUUUCUUAUUCUUUCCAUUUAAUGGCCGGAUGAACCUUCUCUCCUUUGAGGCUGCAUAUUUAUUCCUUUUCAUCUUAUUCAGAAACUAAAUUACUUCUUUCCUUUUUCUCCUUUUGUUUCCUUCUUCUCCUCUUUCUUUCCAUAAUUUCCAAGUCAUUAUCUCACAUUUAAUUCUGAAAAUAAGGAAAUGAAAUAAUAAAUAUAAAUCACAUAUGUUACAGAAAUAUCGAAUAAUAAAAAUCCUAACCAAACUAGGUUUCCUAGUUCGACAAGGAAUACUACUCUAUAGCACUCUCGACAAUUUCUGCAUUUUACACCCGUUUUAGCACCAAAAGGGAACGAACGUCACUCAAGACUCCUAACUCGACUCAAUGACUCUAUACUACAAUAAUAAGGGCUAAGUAAGGUACGAAUGGAGGUAAAAACAUGUUAAGAACGUCGCACAAAGUGCUCUUAUCAAUAUUGUACAAAUUAAAUCACAUGCUCAACAUAUAAUUCUCGUCAUUGAAAUGACAUACUCACAAUGAAUUCAUAACAGUAUAUAAUAUAGCAAACUAUAUAUAUAUGUGCUUAUUUACCAUUUAUACAAAUAUAUAUAUCUCACUAUAUCAUAUACAUGUCGUAUUUCAAUAUUUAAAACUCUUGCAAAAAUCUUGAAAUCACCGCAAGGGUAGAUUCGUAAAUAUGUGAGAUUUUACUCACCUUAUCAACUCGAGCGUAAAUCCACAAUUUCCGAAGAUAAUUCAUUUCCUUGAUUUAUCGAUCACCUUGAAAAUAUAAGAAAAGAGUUUAGAAUCGUUUCGUAAACCUUAAAUGCCGAAACAGUAAUAGUAAGUUACUGUUCAGCAAUUUCUGGUUUUACGAAUUUACUGUUCACGGGGUUACUAUUCGUGUGUUUACUAUUCCCGUGUUUCUGUACAAAUACACAUCAAUUACGUAUCCAUGUACAUGCGCCACUCGCCGGUGACCGCGCGUGGGGCCCACGUGCCUACUCCGGCACUGGAGCGUAUCACGCCACCUCCGCCCCAAAACUCUUCCUCUCCUCCUCCUUCCUACGGUCUCAGACCACCCCUAGACUGCCCCACGGUCCCACACGCGCCGCCUAAGGCGGCGACAUCUCCCCCAAAACCCUCCUCCUCCAAUCUCCUCCAAUACGAAUCAAACAACCACAAAAAUCAUAACAAGGCAUCACAACAAUCAACCUAGGCUAACCCUCACCUCAAUCAAGCUUUUGGAUCAUCGUUGGAGAGCUCGAGAUGCCGUCGGUGGUAUCGCAGAACCUUGGCGCUGUUGGUGGAGCUCGGGGUCGACUGAGGAAGGCCGCGCGGUGCUUUCUGGGUCGGCGGUGCACGACACGGCGGCCCGGAGGCGGCGGAUCGACGGAGAGAAUUUCUGAGGGAGAGAGUGAUUUCGGGGAGAGAGAACGAGGGAGGGAGGCGGAGAGAAGAGAGAGAAGGGUUUCCUGAAAUGGAAACCCUAAUAAAAAAAUACCUUUUUUAUACUCGUUUCCAAAAUCUGAAACUAACUUCCGACGUUAAUUACGUUUACGUCCGACGUCCGAUUAGAACGCGUCACAUACUGACGAACUCGUAUCGACGAGUUAUACAACUUUUGUGAAGAAAGUUUUCGCAACCGAGCGAUGGAAUAAAAGUCGAUAUAUAGGUUGCGGUAACGUCACGUUUUUCGAAUUGAACGUUCCCAUUUCUCGUUUCGUAACGUCGCAAACAAUCACAUUCAUUCUAAUUAAAUUUCACAACUUUAUAGAAUUCAAAUCAACCCAAAUAUUGUUUGAAAAUUAGGGUUAUUACACCAUUAGAAGGAAUCAUGUUUUUAAGAAUAUCUGAUAGGAUUGGUUCUCAAAUCAUAUGCAGUGAUUAUCAUAGGUUCUUAUGCAGUUGCAAUUUCAAAUAUCUGGUCUUAAUGAGUAUCAAUGUUUGUGAAAGUUUGGAGAGAGGCCGGGGUUUGGAUUUGGUUCCUGGUCUCUAACUUGCCUCUGAUCCUGGUUAAGAGUUGUGGGUGUUGAAGUAUUUGAUAUAUGUUGCUUUUGUUAUUCAAACUCACUUGGAAGAGUUUCAUCCAUUAAUUUUGGGGAAUGAUUAUUAUAGGUUUACUUGUUGUGGCAACUCAAUUAAGAAUGUAAAAGUCUAUAGGUUUACUUGUUGGUUCAUGGUCUCUGCCUUGCCUCUAAUCUUGGUUAGGACUUAAGAGUUGUAGAGGUGGAACCGUGGAAGUAUAGUAGUUAUGUUUAUUUUUCUGUUGCUCAAAUUCACUUGGAAGAGUGGCAUCCACUUUGUAGCCUUAUAGGCAGAGUUUUUGAUUCAGUGUCCUAUCACACACAAGUAGCAGAUCUGUGUAGCUGUGACUUGAAAUUCAUUUUAAUUGAACAGUUUGGGAUCCAUAGAUGCACCGCAGUAGGAAGAAACUUGUUUUGUCCAAGUGAACCUAGCUGCUAUCUGCCCCUGGACUUCCUGGAGAUUGACAAGAUGGCAUGCCGACAUCUGAAGCUAAGAGCUUGCUGGUGAUGAAAUUAUAUUUACACAUUUCUAUUUUUCAUCCAUCAAGUACUUAUAGGAUGGCAGGAGUAAAUAGUUGAUCCAGUAUCUUGCUGAGGAGAAUGCUUAAAUUUCUUAUAUAUUUGUUGUCUAAAUUUGUUUUGUGCAUCAAGACUUUAAUUUGACAAGCCGAUUAAAAUCUCUUAAAUCAGUUGGCAAAUAUGGUGGGGUAUACUAGGAAUAAACAUUUCUUGUUCUUCAGAUUGCUCCAAUUCUAUGUGCUAGAGAGAUCAUAUAAAAGUGGACAUUUUGAACUGCACUUUAUGUCUCUGCAUAAUGAGGAGAAAAAGUGGAUAUUCACUGGACAAGUGGAUAUGGUGGUGGAAUUUAUCCACUACUCCCUGCACUUAAGGGUUCUUCCCAUAAUGCGAGCAUGUACACAAUUAGUGCUUCCAUUAGAAUAGUUUUAUAACUAUUGAAUAGAUUAAGGGUAGACUUUCGAGUUUCCAUAUGUUAUGAAUGUUAUAUUCGUAUUUCAGUUUAGUGUAUUGUUAUUAGAUAUGUAUAUCCUCUCUAGAAGCAUUUUAGUCUCUGGAUAAGAGACCUUGUAGUUGUUAGACAGACUUAAAGAUUACAGAUUGAUGAUUGAUUAGAAGUCCUUAACUCUUGGCUCGCUCUUCUUUAAUGGUCAUUUUCACCUUUUUAUCGAAAUUUAGUGCUCUUGUUAAGAUUGCAGGUGCACAGAAAGAUUCAGAAGAAACUGUUGAGUCAAGAACUGUGUUGGUGACAAAUAUUCUAAGGCUGGGAGGAGCAGCUACGGAGGCAUCAGCACCGACCCAACUUGUUGGGACAAAUUCCCUCAAUACCCCCAGCAAAUCACAUUACAUGAGGACUACUCUAGUGGAGAAGAGAACCUGGUAUCCGAACAUUCACGCCCCAGCUAGUGUAGGAGUUUCCUCUUCUGCUCACCAUAGUUAAGAGACAGACGGGAAGACGUCAUCAUUAGAGCCCCAUGAAGCAUCCAUAAUAUUCAGAGAUUGCAUAGGGCUGAUUAACGUAGAUCUUAACAAAAUAGCACACGUACAAAAUGUAGUGCAAGUUAGAAGGAUUAGGUUGUUCUAGAUCUGCUGCAAACCACUUAAAGGCUGUUUGCUACUUUUGUUUGCUUGGGUGGAAUCACUGUGCAGAUUCAUCUGAUUUCUCUUGUACAAGCUCAAAAUACUUGUGUCGGUAUAUAUAUAAAAUCAGAACCAAGACCUGCA